CAACACUCUGAAGUUUCUAAAACUGUUAAACCAAUGUCUUGUCCACACUGACCCUAACAGUGACAUGUGCACAGCUCUGAACAUAAGGACCAGGUCACCAGAGUACGACACUCUGACAAGUGUGAGGGACUCCCCCAGUGAUACAGACCCUCAGGGAGACGCUCAACCCUCCAAUUAUGAGAACUGAAGAGAACCUGGACUGAACAAAACCACCACAGAGCCUGGACUGAAGAUAACUAAAACAGAACCUGGACUGAAGAGAACCACCACAGAACCUGGACUGAAGAGAACCAAAACAGAACCUGGACUGAAGAGA